AGAAGUAAAAGUCGUAACAAGGUUUCCGUAGGUGAACCUGCGGAAGGAUCAUUACCGAGUAAGGGCCCUCUGGGUCCAACCUCCCACCCGUGUUUAUCGUACCUUGUUGCUUCGGCGGGCCCGCCUCACGGCCGCCGGGGGGCACCCGCCCCCGGGCCCGCGCCCGCCGAAGACACCAUUGAACGCUGUCUGAAGAUUGCAGUCUGAGCAUCUUAGCUAAAUCAGUUAAAACUUUCAACAACGGAUCUCUUGGUUCCG
rnacentral:misc_RNA from 1 species